rnacentral:rRNA from 1 species
GACGAACGCUGGCGGCGUGCUUAACACAUGCAAGUCGAACGGAAAGGCCCUGCUUUUGUGGGGUGCUCGAGUGGCGAACGGGUGAGUAACACGUGAGUAACCUGCCCUCGACUUUGGGAUAACUUCAGGAAACUGGGGCUAAUACCGGAUAGGAGCCCCUGCUGCAUGGUGGGGGUUGGAAAGUUUCGGCGGUUGGGGAUGGACUCGCGGCUUUUCGGCUUGUUGGUGGGUUAGUGGCUUACCAAGGCGUUGACGGGUAGCCGGCCUGAGAGGGUGGCCGGCCACAGUGGGAGUGGGAGACGGCCCAGACUCCUACGGGUAGCAGCAGAGGUGAAUAUUGCACAAUGGGCGGAAGCCUGAGGCAGCAACGCCGCGUGCGGGAUGACGGCCUUCGGGUUGUAAACCGCUUUCGCCUGUGACGAAGCGUGAGUGACGGUAAUGGGUAAAGAAGCACCGGCUGACUACGUGCCAGCCGCCGCGGUAA